rnacentral:misc_RNA from 1 species
GAUGAAGAACGCAGCGAAAUGCGAUACUUGGUGUGAAUUGCAGAAUCCCGUGAACCAUCGAGUCUUUGAACGCAAGUUGCGCCCGAAGCCACUAGGCCGAGGGCACGCCUGCCUGGGCGUCACACGCCGUUGCCCCCCCAUCUACUCCUUCGGGAUUGCGGGGGGGCGGAUGAUGGCCUCCUGUGCGCCUAGCCGCGCGGUUGGCAUAAAUACCAAGUCCUCGGCGACGCACGCCACGACAAUCGGUGGUUGCGAAACCUCGGUUGCCCGUCGUGUGCGUUCGUCGCGCAUCGAGGGCUCGAAAAAAUGCUAGGCUCCGGCUGGGCUUUCAACGCGACCCCAGGUCAGGCGGGGUUACCCGCUGAAUUUAAGCAUAUCAAUAAGCGGAGGA